UGUUGAAAUAUAAAACUUAUUACUAGUUAAAAUAAAACUGAACUAACCUACAUACUAGUUAAAAUUGAAUUAUUGUAACGUAAGUUGAAUUGAGUUGUUAUAUAAAUCUAAAAAACAUUGUACCUAAUAUUAUAUUGAAUUUAUAGUUAAUCUAACCAUAAUAUUAAUCAUAUGGUCGACAGAGGAAUAAGUGGUGAAGAAAAACUGAAAAAUUUGUAAGUUCAAUGAAAUCAAAAUUAUAAUUUUGUAAUAUGAGUAUAAAUUAUAGCUAAAGCGUUCACACAACUUGGAUAGUGUCGUGUUUAAGGACGUCUGAGAAAUUCCGGUAACAUUCUUUAGAAAUUUUUCAUCAUAACCUCAAUCGACAUGGAAUAUACAGAUGAAGCUAACCCAACAUCGGAACACAAUUGUAGACUAUGUAAGCGACCAGACAUAGCCGAAGAUAUGGUGGCUUGCGAUGCCUGUCAUUCUUGGUUUCAUUACACUUGCGCUAAUGUUGACACAAAUGUUAAAGACCGCGACUGGCAAUGUGUAUCCUGUGCACCAAAAAACAAAUCCGAUCAGGCGAAAAAUACUGGUGCAAUCAAGAAGCAAUUAAUGGUGCCCAGCGGGACAGACAAAAAAUCAAUCGCAGCCAGUAAAACAAGUUCACGUAGGUCAAAAAAAGUGCUAGUGGACGAAAAAGCUAGCAUAACAUCUAGUGCCCGAGCUCGCUUAGAACUCGAGUUGCAAAUUAUUGAGGAGCAAAAACAGAUUCAGGAGCUUGAACUUGUUUCUGAAAAAGAGCUACGCGAUCGACAGCUGGCUCAAGAAAAGGAGAUGCGAUAUCGGGAGUUGGCGAUAGAACGAAAAAAAAUUGCCGAAGACAAAGCAUUUGCGGAACGGAAGUUAGCAGAGGAGCGACAAUUUCGGAUACAACAAAUGGCCAUUCGGAAACAAUCCAUGGAAGAGAAGGCGAAAGUAGUACGACAGCUAUCACAUCAUGGUAGUAACAGCCGAACCAGCGUAGCCCCUAGUGAACCAGAUUCAGCAGAAAAGGUUACAGAAUGGCUGAAAAACAAUGGGCAGCAGACUGAGGGACUAUUUAAAUCCACGUUAGCACCCACUAAAACCACCAACAAAAACAAUCUGAAACCCGAUGAACGAGUAGCUGGUACAUCAGUAUCGAACGAUAAUGAAAUAUCUGUUAUACAAAAUUGUGAUCUACCAAAGUCGAACGAUGCUACUAAUCCUUUACUCGCAAAAAACAAUAAAAUUAGAAUGAACUCUGUUUACCCCAAUCUCUUUUCCGUUCCACGAGCCCCUCGAAUUUCUAAUAUGCAUAAUUCAUCCCAUUGUGAGGAAGAUAUCAUGAGCCGAAUUGAAAUGAGCGGAGAGUUCGGUCCAAGCAAUCGUCAAAUUGCCGCUCGGCAAGUUAUGGGCAAAGAAUUGCCUGUAUUCAAUGGUGACCCAGAAGAGUGGCCUAUAUGGAUAAGCAAUUUUGAACGCUCUACGGCCACGUGUGGGUUCUCGCUAGAUGAGAAUCUUAUUCGCUUGCAGCGAUGUUUAAAAGGUCAUGCUUUGGAAACGGUUAGAAGUAGACUGCUUUCGCCUGCAAGUGUACCUCAUGUGAUCAAAACAUUACAAAUGCGUUAUGGUCGUCCAGAGACUCUUAUACGAACACUAACUGAAAAAAUACGCACACUCGCAUCGCCCAAAACGAAUGAUAUGGAAAGCAUAAUAGAAUUUGGGAAUGCAGUUGAUAAUCUAGUUGAGCAUUUGAAAAACGCAAAACUGCACGCCCAUUUGAAUAAUCCGUCCCUCUUGCACGAUUUUGUUUCAAAGUUACCAGUUGAGUAUAGAUUACAAUGGUCAGCGUUUAAAAGUUCGAUACAAGUAGUAGAUUUGAGUGCGUUUGGCACAUUUAUGAGCACCAUAGUUGAGCUUGCGUAUGAAGUAGUAGAUGAUAUAUCUACAGAAAAAUUCAGUAAAGCUAAACAGAAAGAUCGAGCAUAUCUACAAACGCACACCGAGUCGCGUACACUCGAAAAUUCUCUUAAAUUUGAAGAGAAUGCUACAGAGCGGAUGCAUCGUAAAGCAUGUCCGGUUUGUAAAUUUGAGCACAGAAUCGUUGACUGCACAGAAUUCAAAUCGAUGACGAUCGAAGACCGUGUGAUGGUCGUACAACAGAAGUCGUUAUGCAGAAUGUGUCUCAAUUACCAUGGCAAGUGGCCCUGCAAAACAUGGAAAGGCUGCGGAAUCGAUGGAUGCCGUUUACGCCACCAUGCUCUCCUGCAUUUUGAUACAGCUCGGUCCGUGAUUUCUACGAGCCAUGUUGACAGGUUUAAAAUUGACAACGGUCCAUUAUUGAGAAUUCUUCCUGUAACUCUUUACGGAAAAACCAAAAAACUCGAUAUAUUUGCUUUCGUCGAUGAAGGUUCGCAAUUAACGCUCUUAGAAGCUGAAAUAGCAAAUCAACUUUCUAUUGAUGGACCCAUCGAACCGUUAAGCCUACAGUGGACGGGCAACGUAAAAAGAAACGAGUCUAGUUCAAAGAGCGUUUGUGUAGAGAUCUCUGGAUCCUCGAGGCGCUUUAAGUUGUCCGGAGCUCGAACGGUUGAAAAUCUGAUGCUUCCUCGUCAAUCUAUGUGCUAUCGAGAAUUAGCAGAUAAAUAUCCACAUCUUCGUGGACUUCCAUUAAACGAUUACAUUGAAACGGCUCCAAAACUUUUAAUUGGACUUGACAAUUUGAAACUCAUCGUACCACUGAAAGUUCGUGAAGGAGGAUGGGGUGAACCAGUAGCGACGAAAUGUCGCUUAGGAUGGAGUGUAUAUGGCUGUUCUCGUGGUGAGGCGUUGCAGUCCAUGUGUGGGUUUCACACUGGUGGCUGUAUCGAUCGAGAUUCCGAGCUUAAUGAACUAGUUCGGGAUUUUUUUGCGAUGGAUAAUGCGAUGACUACAAAUCAACUGAAUUUUCCACAGUCUGAAGAGGAUAUACGAGCUAACUUCAUUUUAGAGAAUACGACAAAACGAUUAUCUACAGGAGGAUAUGAGACAGGGCUUUUGUGGAAAACUGAUGAGAGGUCCUUCCCAAACAGUUAUGGAAUGGCUUACAGGCGUCUCUGCUCGUUAGAGAAAAGAUUAAGUAAGGAUAAAAGUCUGUACGAUAGCGUUCGUCAACAAAUCCGGGAGUAUCAAGAUAAAGAAUACGCUAGUUUAGUUAAUGAAAUUGAAAUGAAAUCAACCAAAUCCGAUAAAACUUGGUACUUACCCUUAGGAGUUGUCGUGAAUCCAAAAAAACCAACUAAAAUCCGUAUGAUUUGGGAUGCCGCAGCAAAAGUGGAUGGUGUUUCAUUGAAUUCUGCCUUGAUGAAAGGUCCGGAUAUGACCACAUCCUUACCAGCAGUUCUUUUCAAUUUCCGAUUAUACCGUUACGCAUUAACAGGAGACAUAAAGGAAAUGUUUCAUCGCAUAAAAAUUAGAGAAUCAGAUCGACAAUAUCAGCGCUUUUUAUGGCGAGAUUAUCCUGAACAACUUCCUCAAGUGUUCACAAUGAACGUGGCAACGUUUGGUUCAUCGUGCUCUCCGUGCUCAGCCCAGUACGUUAAGAAUAAAAACGCAAAUGAGUUCGCUAAAGAAUACGCCAAAGCCGCAGAAGCCAUUAUCAAUUUCCACUACGUGGAUGAUUAUUUGGACAGUUUUAGUGCAGUUCAGGAAGCAAUCCAAUUGGGAAAUGAAGUUAAGAUGAUUCACUCCAAAGGUGGAUUCGAAUUACGAAACUUUAUGUCGAACGAACCAGAGAUUGCUAGACGCGUGGGGGCCGAAUCAGAGGAUGGCUACAAAUCACUCGAGUUAGAGAAAGAAGGUAUUCAGUCCGUCCUAGGAGUCAAGUGGAUCCCAAGAAGCGACGAAUUCACAUACAACCUGAACUUGAAUGCUGGUCUGCAGUAUAUUCUUCAUCCCACAUAUAUUCCGACGAAAAGAGAAGUCCUACGAGUAGUAAUGAGUUUGUUUGACCCAUUGGGAGUCAUAUCAUUCUAUUUAGUACACGGUAGAAUAUUGAUGCAGGACAUUUGGGCCUCUGGAGCAGAUUGGGACGAUUAUAUCAACGAAGAACUAUUCCAUCGUUGGCGAAAGUGGGUGGAAUUACUACCUCUACUAAACUCACUCCGUAUACAGCGUUGUUAUUUUCCUGGUGCCACACAAGACACCUAUGCAUCUCUUCAAAUUCACGUAUUUGUUGACGCCAGUGAAUCGGCAUACUCGUCUGCAAUUUAUUUUCGAAUCGAAGACAGAAAUGGUCCUUCAAUGGCAUUGGUAGCAGCGAAAUCAAAGGUGGCCCCUUUAAAAAUGUUGACAAUUCCACGACUUGAGUUGCAGGCGGCUGUUUUAGGAUCGAAGCUUUUGCAUAACGUACAAUCUAUGCAUCCCGUGAGCGUUGGAAAGCGAUUUCUCUGGACGGACUCAUUGACAGUGCUAGCGUGGUUACGUUCAGACCCUCGCAAAUACAGCCAGUACAUCGGGUUUAGAGUCGGCGAGAUCCUUUCAAUGACAGAGCUACGAGAAUGGAGAUAUGUUCCAAGCAAAAUGAAUGUUGCGGACGACGCAACGAAGUGGGGAUCAGGACCUGAAAUAAAAGCAAGUACGAGAUGGUUCGUUGGGGCAGAAUUCGUAUUACUACCUGAAUCAAGCUGGCCGCCACUGCCGGAGUCUUUAACUACUACGAAAGAAGAACUACGAAGCUGCAGCGUACACAGCUUACCAAAUAUACCGUUUCUAAAUGUGGAUCGUUUUAGUCGAUGGGAAAAACUUUUACGCACGCAAGCUUUCAUUCAUCGCUUUGUUAACAAUCUGAAAUGCGUGCGCGCAAGGAAACCAAGAGAAACAGGUAUACUUACUCAGCGAGAGUUAGUUGAAGCCGAGAGGUCAUUGUGGAAACAGGCCCAACAAGAGUUCUACUCUAUGGAGAUUAGAAUCUUACAAAAAACUUGUGGACCGCCUUUGGGACAUCACCUUACAGUGUCUAAAUCGAGCUCAAUGUACAAACACUGGCCAUUUAUGGAUGAAUACGGAGUCAUUCGUAAACGAGGACGAAUCACCGCACCGUGGAUACCAUACGAAGCUAAAUACCCAGCAAUUCUCCCACGUCAUCAUAAAGUUACUUUCCUUAUUACAGACUCGUUUCAUCGCCGCUUCCGUCACGCCAACCAAGAGACUAUUGUGAACGAAAUGAGACAAAGAUUCGAAAUAUUCAAACUUCGUUCGCUAGUGGCGCGAGUUUCGCGAAACUGUGCAUGGUGUAAGAUUUAUGCAGUUAAACCAAACUCGCCUCCAAUGGCUCCCUUGCCCAGGGCACGGUUAACACCAUUCAUCAGGCCAUUUACGUUUGUAGGCCUUGACUAUUUCGGUCCAGUCUUAGUGAAAGUUGGCCGAAGUAACGUAAAACGGUGGGUGGCUCUGUUCACCUGCUUGACCAUCCGAGCGAUUCAUAUGGAAGUUGUCCACUGUCUUUCAACGAAUUCAUGUGUAAUGGCUAUUCGACGCUUUGUGUCUCGAAGAGGAGCACCUGCAGAAAUAUUUAGCGAUAAUGGAACUAACUUCCAUGGUGCUAACAAACAACUGGAGAAAGAAAUACGAGAACGUUCUAAAACAUUAGCAGCAAUAUUUACAAACACUACGACACGGUGGAACUUCAACCCACCCAGUGCCCCUCACAUGGGGGGUGUCUGGGAACGAAUGGUACGCUCAGUGAAAGUAGCGGUUGGAACAAUCUUAGAAGCCCCACGUAAACCAGAUGAUGAGACUUUGGAGACAAUAAUAAUCGAAGCAGAAGCUAUGAUCAAUACACGGCCAUUGACAUAUAUUCCACUGCAGUCAGCUGACGAAGAAUCAUUAACACCGAAUCACUUCCUGCUGGGAUGCUCUAGCGGAGUUAAACAGCUACCGACAUCUUUCAUCGAUUCUAAAAUGAUUCUUCGAAACAGUUGGAAACUGGCACAACACAUUAUCGACGGAUUCUGGAGAAGAUGGCUUAAAGAAUACUUACCAGUAAUAUCAAGACGAUCAAAAUGGUUCGAGAAUAUCAAAGAUGUGGAAGUAGGAGACUUGGUGUUGGUCGUUGAUGGAGCGGUAAGGAACCAGUGGACCCGAGGAAGAGUAGAGAAAGUAGUAACAGGUUCGGAUGGCAGGGUUCGUCAAGCGUGGGUGCGAACCACAAGUGGAGUGCUACGACGGCCUGUGGUAAAGCUAGCGGUACUUGAUGUGUUGCCAGAAGCUGAGCUAGACCGAACACCCACUAAUGAAUCACGGGUGGGAGGAUGUGACGGCGAGUAUCCCUCGUCAGCAGAAAUCACUGAUCGUGAAGAGUGAAGUCUACAUCGGUCAUCGGAGUGAUAAACAGACAGGUGACAGAUCGGAAAAGAAUAGGAACGAAAGAGAGAAAAAAAAGCGUGCCUGAUUUGAGACGAUAGUGGUGUUGAAAUAUAAAACUUAUUACUAGUUAAAAUAAAACUGAACUAACCUACAUACUAGUUAAAAUUGAAUUAUUGUAACUUAAUCUAACCAUAAUAUUAAUCAUAUGGUCGACAGAGGAAUAAGUGGUGAAGAAAAACUGAAAAAUUUGUAAGUUCAAUGAAAUCAAAAUUAUAAUUUUGUAAUAUGAGUAUAAAUUAUAGCUAAAGCGUUCACACAACUUGGAUAGUGUCGUGUUUAAGGACGUCUGAGAAAUUCCGGUAACAAUGGGUAUAUUCUCAUUUAGUACUAAAUCCGCCUCGUAUCCAACAAUGGGAGAAGCGAAACUUUUUUGAAAAACUUUUGAAAAUUGUCGUUUGAUAUGUUGAACAACUUGCUCUACGGAUUGUAUUUGGGAAAUGUUAUUAACCCUUUCUGAAUUACAAAAAACACCUUUUUUAUUCAGGAAAGAAUACAUCCAUCCAAUCUCUCCCCAACAGCGGCGUUAAAUUAUAAUUAUUACCCAUAGGCUCAUCUAGAACGACCAUUGUUAGGUUCUUUUUUAUUUGAUUAAUGUCCACUAAUACCUCAGCUUCACCCAACACACUUAACCUACUCUCAUUGACUACCAAUAGCUUUCUAUUACUUCUAUAUAAUGGUACUGAUACAUAAAAUAACCGACGAAACAUUCAUUUACCAAUAAUGGACACAGCUGAUCCCGAAUCAACUUCCAUCUGAACCUCCACCUUUUCGAUUAAAAUAUUAACAAAACAUGAACUACUAAUCUCUCUUUUACCGUUCCAACUUGUGAUUGAGAUACUGUGCCACUAUUAUUAUUUUUUCUACGCUAGCUAAUGUUAACUGUUCUUCCUUCAAGAGUUGCGAUUGCAGGUUUUUAUCAUACACACCAACAAGAAUUCUAUCUCGUAUAGCCUUAUCUUUAUAAUCUCCAAAAUCACACAUCGAUGCCAUAAGUUUCAAACCCAGAAUAAAGUUUUCUGUCGUCUCACUGGCAGCUUGAAUACGAGUAUGAAAUUUAUAACAUUGUAUAACAUCUGAGUCCACCUUAUCGAAACGAGAUUUUAACUUAGAUAUUAUAUCAUUGUAAGUCAAAUCCGAUAAGUUUUGACCUGGAUAUAGUAAUUUCAAUUCUGUGAAAACCGUCGGACCACUCAGGGUGAUAAACAUGGAUCUUUUACGUUCAUCGGGUUUCUCAUUGAACUCAAAGAAGUGUUCAAAAGGCUCAGAAUAUUCACUAAAAGAUUAACCUGGCACGUAAGGUUCCAUGGUUCCAAUAAUGUUGGCACUGGUACUCAUUCUCUCUGUAUGAGUGGUUACUCACUUUAUCAAUAUGAAACUGUAAAUAUUUCGCAUUCUCCAAACUCUUGUUCUCACCACUCUUGUAACAAUGCUCUCUCGCCCACUCAAUCUCCUGUGAUAGUUACACUGAUGCUCAAAUCACCAACUGCUCGAAUGUUCUCACUUGAUAAUAUAUCUCACCACAGAUGCACCAUAAAAGGAUACUAACUCGUUGAUACUAUGGAAUUCAAAUUUCCCAAUCCAAUCAAAAUAAGGGCAACAGAAAAAACACAAGACUAGUUGAUACUUUUAUACACAAUGAAAAGUUUGGUUUGCUCUCUUUUGUCACAGCACAAUGGCUGACUCUUCAAAAUGGCUAAUAACACCAAAAUGUAUCACUC